CAAGUAUCUGCUGCAUUGAAAGCUGACCUCAACAAAAAUGAAUUUGAGUCAAUAGCGGGAGAAUGCAAUGUAGUCCUUGCCGACAUUAUUGAAGCUAUAAGAGACUUUCACAAGUGGACCUCCCCCCAAUAUGUUGCUAAGGGCGUGGCUAACAUGAUGGACGAUUGCUACAUGAAACCUGAGCCUCUUGGAGUUGGUCUUAUCAUUGGAGCUUGGAAUUAUCUGUACCGAAAACAGCAAGACUUUUCAUUACAUAUCAAGUCGCACUAGCAGCGGCUCUCUUGUUCAGAAUACUGUCCUCUUUCAAAUUGGAGUUAAUACUCUUCCGUUUGGUGGUGUCGGUAACAGCGGUAUAGGAGCUUACCACGGCAAGCACACCUUCAAUACAUACUCACAAAUGAAACCAAUUCUAAGGACUGGAACCAAAAUGGACUUUCUGCUAAAGGUGAUCUAUCCACCACACAACAAGUCAAAGAUAAAGCAGUUUAACUUUAACUUCCUCCAGGUGCCCUCAUCCUGCCAAUGGAGUCUGCGGCCUUAUCUUAUGAUUCUUCUUGUAGUCAUGAUAGCAGCUGCUGUUAAGGUUUAUCGACUGCCCAGUUUUAUGUAUAAGUUCUUCUGAUCUAGUGAGACAAUUUUUAAAAUGCAAUUUUGUAUACUUUGCUAUAAUACAGCAAGCACAAAAUAUGAUAUUGUGUCUAAAUUUUGUCUUGUAUUGUUUGUGUAUUAUAUAAAAUGAUUUAUAAAAUGCUUUAAAUUGUA
rnacentral:lncRNA from 1 species